rnacentral:rRNA from 1 species
GACGAACGCUGGCGGCGUGCUUAACACAUGCAAGUCGAACGGAAAGGCCCUGCUUUUGUGGGGUGCUCGAGUGGCGAACGGGUGAUUAACACGUGAGUAACCUGCCCUUGACUUUGGGAUAACUUCAGGAAACCGGGGCUAAUACCGGAUAGGAGCUCCUGCUGCAUGGUGGGGGUUGGAAAGUUUCGGCGGUUGGGGAUGGACUCGCGGCUUAUCAGCUUGUUGGUGGGGUAGUGGCUUACCAAGGCUUUGACGGGUAGCCGGCCUGAGAGGGUGACCGGCCACAUUGGGACUGAGAUACGGCCCAGACUCCUACGGGAGGCAGCAGUGGGGAAUAUUGCACAAUGGGCGGAAGCCUGAUGCAGCAACGCCGCGUGCGGGAUGACGGCCUUCGGGUUGUAAACCGCUUUCGCCUGUGACGAAGCGUGAGUGACGGUAAUGGGUAAAGAAGCACCGGCUAACUACGUG